rnacentral:rRNA from 1 species
GAUGAACGCUGGCGGCGUGCCUAAUACAUGCAAGUCGAGCGAACGGACGAGACGCUUGCUUUUCUGAUGUUAGCGGCGGACGGGUGAGUAACACGUGGAUAACCUACCUAUAAGACUGGGAUAACUUCGGGAAACCGGAGCUAAUACCGGAUAAUAUUUUGAACCGCAUGGUUCAUAAGUGAAAGACGGUCUUGCUGUCACUUAUAGAUGGACCCGCGCUGCAUUAGCUAGUUGGUAAGGUAACGGCUUACCAAGGCAACGAUGCAUAGCCGACCUGAGAGGUGGAUAGGCCAACCUGGAACGGAGCACCGGCCCAGACUCCUACGGGAGGCAGCAGGAGGGAAUCUUGCGCAAUGGGCGAAAGCCUGACGGAGCAACGCCGCGGGAGUGAUGAAGGCCUUCGGAUCGUAAAACUCUGUUAUUAGGGAAGAACAUAUGUGUAAGUAACUGUGCACAUCUUGACGGUACCUAAGCAGAAAGCCACGGCUACCUACGU